rnacentral:rRNA from 1 species
UACGAAGGUCCCAAGCGUUAUCCGGAUUUAUUGGGUUUAAAGGGUGCGUAGGCGGGCUAUUAAGUCAGUGGUGAAAGCCCCAAGCUUAACUUGGGAACUGCCAUUGAUACUGAUGGUCUUGAGUACAUUUGAGGCGGGCGGAAUGUGUCAUGUAGCGGUGAAAUGCUUAGAUAUGACAUAGAACACCAAUUGCGAAGGCAGCUCGUUACGCGAAUAUUGACACUGAUGCACGAAAGCGUGGGGAUCAAACAGG